UUAAAUACCUGUGGGGCGGGAAGUCGGGCGGAGUCUAAAGGCCAGGGCGCUGCCGCCCCGGAGUAGGAAAGGGCCGAGAGUAAGGCCAGGGACUAUCAGAGCCUGAGUCUCCACCCAUAGCAAAUGGCAUCUGUACUGGAAGCCUCUGCAUAUUAGUGCAGGGCGGGGAUGGAUAGAUGAAUGAAGGCAACGCUGAUAUGACAAGAUAUAGAAGAGCAGAAGGCAAGAAGGGGAUGCAGCUCAGUGACUUCUGGUAGGCGACUUUUGGCUUCAAAACCCUGAAAACUGUGUCCUAGACCACCCCGACACUACCAUUUUCUGAACAUCUUCCCAUAAAGAAUAAUGAAUAUUGAACACCAGGAUACCAAAAAAGCUCAUCUAAUCUACUCAAGUAUCACUGUGUACUCUGUUUCAAGAUGCAAAUGAAGUGGGGAUUUUCCUAUGCUGGACAGAGUGUACAGUUACCUGGCCAUGAGGUCUUGGGUCAUUGCUGAAGGGAGAUUCAUGAGGAUGCCAGAAUUAUCCUACUGAAUAGACCAUGAGCUACUUGGAGACAGAAUUGGAGAAGAUACAGUCUCUGGUCUCAGUAUGGAUGUGUAAGCAGGUGAAAUACGUUAUGACAUUUCCCUGUCUAAUUCUUCGCUGGAGUACACAAGAAUCUGCAUACUUUGGCCUGUGGCUUGGGACUUCAGAUCCACGUCUUUAAGACCUGGUGAGCCAGCCAGAAGAAAGAGCUGAAGGUGCCCCAUGGCCAGAUCCAAGUGUAUGCCUGGACUCUCUUCUGCUUCUCCAUAUUGGGAUAUAAGUCCAGCAAAAGAAGUAACCAUUGGCCAAGGACAGAUGCCGAGACCAUCAUUAAAAUUGAGAAGCAGCGCUGGAGAGAUGAUUCAGCAGUUAAGAGCACUUGCUGUUCUUACAAAGGGCCUGUCUGGAUUUCAUUCCCGGUGCCCACAUGGAAGCUCACAGUUGUCUGUAAUUCCAGUUCCAAGGAAUCUGUCACACUCUUCUGACUUCCUUGGGCACAAGCAUACACGAGAUGUAUACUCAUAUGUAGGCAAAAUAUUCAUACACAUAUGACAAAAUAAAUCUAAAAUAUUGACAUAGAUUUAGAGUUUUAGUAUUUUAAUCAAAUAUUCAUUUAGAUGAGUUUAUCAUACACCUUCAAGGUGCAUCAGUUGCAAGGUACUUAAGUUUCAAAUUGUAGCAUCACUCCAAAUAAAGCUGAGAUUAUGCCACUCCAAACUCAAAUUUAAGUGAACAACUGUAUGCAUUUCAACAUGUUGGCUAAACAUGCCCUGUGAAAAGUGAAAAUAUGUAGCCCAGUUUUUCGAUCUGGAACCAGAAUUUGAAAACCAAUUUCAAGAUUUCCAGGAAAAGUAAUUAAUAUUUUAAUAUAUUUGCAACUCCAUUUUAAGCUCACAGAAAUAUGCCAAAUACCAAUUUUCAAGCAGAAUGCACAGAGAUGCAAUCUGACAUUUAACCUAAGGAUAAACUUGGUUAGGUCUCUUUACUCAGCUUGCCUGGAUCCUGUCUCUUCAGACACAAUUAUCCCGCCAUUCCCAGUCACAGUCUGUUCACGUCAUCACUGGUUGGCAGCUCUUUCAUUUGUGAGCAAGUAUGGAACCAGGUUAUCCUUGAACUCAGUGGUAGGCCUUGCUCUGCAGGGAUUAAAGGCGAGUGCCACCGUGGCCCAGCUGGGCAAGUAUGUUUGAGAAUGAGGCACAUGUAGUAAAAUUAGAACCCAGACACUUGACAAGCACCUGCCAGCAUGCUCAGAAUCACGAUUAUUCUUCCAUGGAAGCAGCUAUUGACACAUUAGAUCCCAAGAGAGAUACCAGAUUGUGGCCAUCUUUGUUUUACUUAAUUAAAAAUAGUUUUGAAAAAUGAA
rnacentral:sRNA from 1 species